GUCAGUGUCUGUAUUUGUGGGUGUAUCUGAGUGUGUGUGUGUGUGUAUGUGCCAGUGUUUAUAUAUUUGUGCUAGUGUGUAACUGUGAAUGUGCCAGUGUGUAUAUUUGUGUGUUAAGAUGUGUGCAUCCGUGUGUCAGUAUGUAUAUCUGUGUGCCAGUGUGUGUAUCUGUGUGUGUACAUCUUUGUGCCAGUGUAUAUAUCUGUGUGUCAGUGUAUCUGUCAGUAUCUGUACCUGUGUGUGUAUCUGAGUGUGUGUAUGUGCCAGUGUUUGUAUCUUUGUGCUAGUGUGUGUAUCUGUGUGCCAGGGUGUGUGUAUCAGUGUUUGUAUCUCUGUGUCAGUAUGUGUAUCUGUGUGUAUAUGUCACUGACACACUGUGUGUCAGUGUGUGUGUGUAUCCAUGUGUCAAUAUAUUUCUCAGUGUAUUUAUGUGUGUGUACCUGAGUGUGUAUGUGUGUAUCUUUGUGCAAUUUGUGUAUCUUUGUUUCAAGGUGUGUAUCUCUGUGUAUUUGCCAGUGUGUGUAUCUGCCAGUAUGUGUAUCUGUUUGCCACUUUCUGUGUGUAACUGCGAGUGUGUGAUUUUGUCAGUGUGUAUCUGUGUGUAUGUAUGUGUCAGUGUGUUUUCAUGUCUGUUUGCUAAUGUGUAUGUAUACCUGUGAAAGUAUGUAUCAGUGUAUGUGCAGACAUCCCAGCAAACACCAACACAGAAUGCUAACACACCCUUGCAAACACAAUCAUGACAUACAAAGACACCCCUGCACUCCGACUCCAAAAUAAUAUACAAACACUCAAACAUCAAUACUACACACAAAUGCACAUCUGCAUUUAAAAUUCAACACUACAUCCAAACACACCACUGCACACAAAUUCAAAAAUUACAUACAAAAACACCCCUGCACUAAAAUGCUAAAAUUAAAUACAAACACCAACUCUACACACAGAAGCACACCUGCUACUAAAUACUACAAUAUGUUUACUAUCUGGAUACCAACCUUUACUUUCAUUACAUGGAUCUAUCCUGAAAACCACUCAUUUUUGUUAAGUCCGGAUAUUAAUUAUGAGACUAGGACUUAUUCCCUAGCAAGUAUUCCGGCCACUCUUUUAAAAUAUGGGCAGCAACUAUAGCAUACAGGAAAAAC